rnacentral:rRNA from 1 species
AUACGGAGGAUGCGAGCGUUAUCCGGAUUUAUUGGGUUUAAAGGGUGCGUAGGCUGUGCGUUAAGUCAGGGGUGAAAUGCCGUCGCUCAACGACGGAGCUGCCCUUGAUACUGGCGUGCUGGAGUACGGAUGCCGUUGGAGGAAUGAGUGGUGUAGCGGUGAAAUGCUUAGAUAUCACUCAGAACACCGAUUGCGAAGGCAUCUGACGAAUCCGUCACUGACGCUGGGGCACGAAAGCGUGGGGAUAGAACAGUAUUAGAUGCCCUGGUAUUCCACGCCGUAAACGAUGAUGACUAACCGUCGGCGAUAGACAGCCGGUGGCCAAGCGAAAGCGAUAAGUCAUCCACCUGGGGAGUACGUCAGCAACGAUGAAACUCAAAGGAAUUGACGGGG